UACGGGGGGGGCAAGCGUUGUUCGGAAUUACUGGGCGUAAAGGGCUCGUAGGUGGCCAACUAAGUCAGACGUGAAAUCCCUCGGCUUAACCGGGGAACUGCGUCUGAUACUGGAUGGCUUGAGUUCGGGAGAGGGAUGCGGAAUUCCAGGUGUAGCGGUGAAAUGCGUAGAUAUCGGAGGAACACCGGUGGCGAAGGCGGCAUCCUGGACCGACACUGACGCUGAGGAGCGAAAGCCAGGGGAGCAAACGGGG
rnacentral:rRNA from 1 species